GGGGUUGUGGCUCAGUGGUAGAGCGCUUACCUAGCAUGCAUGAGGCACUGGGUUUAAUCCCCAGCACCA
rnacentral:tRNA from 1 species